rnacentral:rRNA from 1 species
GAUCCUGGCUCAGAUUGAACGCUGGCGGCAGGCCUAACACAUGCAAGUCGAACGGUAACAGGAAGCAGCUUGCUGCUUUGCUGACGAGUGGCGGACGGGUGAGUAAUGUCUGGGAAACUGCCUGAUGGAGGGGGAUAACUACUGGAAACGGUAGCUAAUACCGCAUAACGUCGCAAGACCAAAGAGGGGGGACCUUCGGGUCCUCUUGCCACUCGGAUGUGCCCAGAUGGGAUUAGCUUG